UUAAAAUAAUUAGAGUAUACCAAUAUACAUCUUCUUUUAUUUUCGAUUUAUGUAAAACUAGAAUUUUGAAUGCUCUGUAUUUCAAGGGCGGAUUUUUUAUUUUUUAAAUAACAGAUGAUCAUUGUAACUUAGCAUAUUUCUAUAGAAAAUCAUUUCUAACAUCUUUUUACGUAAUGCAAUAAAAUUUUAUUGACGAGAAAUAUAUGGAACUUUAUCAGAAGCAAGCUACAAACACAAUCGAGAAACCGCCAUCAUCAACCGUACAAUACCCCUGUCCAUUUGAGUGUCACGUAAAAACUAUAUUAAUUACGUAGAUGUUUAUCAUUUAAUAGUGCUGUUAUACAAUCCAAUCGCUCGGCCCCGGAUAAGUGUGUUAGCACAUUGGUAACACUGUAUAUGUCUCUAACAUUGGAGUGCUGAGAGAUGGCUCAAACUUUCCUAUAACAUAGGGCAAAGAAAGCCCAGAUCCUAACAAGGCCCACGAUCCAUGUUUUAGGUUAUAGUGCGAAAAUAUACUACGUUAUUUUAUUACUUUUUUUUUAGUUUUACUGAUAUUGCAAUUUAAUCAAAGGCCACCAUUAUACGAAGAUUAUAAAAUUAGGUAGGACUUUAACUUUGCCUUACCUUAGAAUAUUUUAUAUAUGUAUAAAGUAACAUUUUGUUAAAAGGCUUUAGUAUUUAUUUUAUAUCUAGAGAUCGCUGUAGUCGGCAUUCUCACGGUUGACCAUAUUGUCAAAAUACUGUAGCUUAGUCUCCAGACGUAGCUUAAAGGUAAUGAUAUAAGGCCUUUAAGGGUUGCGUUACCUUAGAUUAAUUUAUACAUUUAUAAAGUAACAUUUUGUUAAUAUUUUUAUAUUUAUUUUAUAUUUAGAGGUCGCUUUAGUCGGCAUUCUCAAGUCUGGCCACAUUGUCAAAUUCUGUCGCUUAGUCUCCAAACGUAGGUAAACUAUAAUGUAAAUAAACAAAUGAGAAAGAUAUAACUAUAUUAUGUGGACUGUAAAAAUAAAAAUUAAUAACAAUAUGAUAAUCGCAUCAUACUUAUAUACAAAUUCAUUAGACUGUGAAAUUUAGUGAAUCGUUUGCAAAACAUUAUCUUUCGCAAUUAAAAUAAUUUCGAGAUAGUUCUAAGAGCCAAUUGGCUACUCCUACAGCAUGGUUAGUCCCGUACGCCUUUAUAUUAUGUUCUGAACGAUCUCGCGAAAAGAUAAUCAAAACGAAUGGAUAUUGGGAAACAAGUAAACUCCACGUCUCUAAGUGCUGGUCCGUGUAUAGCUAAAACUUAUAUAUUUCUUAGUUUUAUAUGGUUAGUACGUGCGAAGAUGGAAUGUUAGUAUAUUGUUCUAUAACUUAAAUGCAGUCACAUCUGUGAAAGGGUUAGUACAGUUGAUAGGUAAGCAAUGUUCUUUAAAUCUAGGUUUAAAUUACACACACACACACACAAAACACAUUUAUCCCCGAAAGGGUAUGCAGAGGCGCAACCAGGGCACCCACUUUUCGCCAAGUGCGUUCCGUCCCAUGAUGUGAUGGGGGCGAGCCUAUCGCCAUAUCAAGAACUAGUUCCAGACUCUGGGUUUAUACGAAGCAGAAAAAUUAAAUUGAUAAAAAAAUCACAUAAUUACAGACUUGAUCAAACAAAAUCGAAAUGAGAAUCAGUCAAGUUAUCUGCAAUCGUAAAAUACCAAUGUGAUUACAAAAUCGACCCUAAUAUUAAUGCCUAGAUGGUCUGUAAAGAUAAUUUUAAUCUGUCUGUGACUACUGUUAUGCUUUUCUUUGAAUUGAUAACAUUAAUUGCUGUACUUUCACAAGAUAAGAAUAGAGAUACAAGUUACAAGAACCACUCUUGUUUUAAACUUAUCUAUAUUGUUUUUACUUUAAAACUGCUUUUACAAAAAUAUAUAAGAAAGAAUAUUUGAAGCAUAACUAUAUCAUUAUAGAGAACACUCUACAAUUCUCUAAUAUCGCGCGUAAAUUCUUGUUUAAUUUGUUAUUACGUUGAAAUUUUUUAGGUAGAUCAUUUCUAUCGUACAAAUAACUGCUCUUCUUUUAACGUCAUGUCAAAUAAGUAUGGCAUGUUUUUUAGUUCAUUUGCCUCUGAUAAAAUUAGCAUUCUUAAAAAUAUUAUUUAAAUGAAACUUCAUACUUUUUAUGUACCUGUUCUUGACAUUUCUUAUUAGAUAGUCAAUUAUGUGUUUUACCAACCGUUUCUUAUUCUUGCAUGUCGUGUUCACAUUUGGAAGUUAGCAAAUAUUUGUUAUAAAAAUAUAAUUUAUUGAGACUGUAUGUUAGGAAUUUCAAUUGUUUAUAACCAGUUUUGUGAAUCUAAUAACUAAACAUUUUUUUUUGUUGCUUUGAAUGACGAGACGAACUUGCCGUUCGACUGUUGGUAAGCGAUAUGAUCGCCCAUCAACAAUAGAAACACCAUCCAACACCUUGAAUUAAAAAGUAUAGUUUGUAUUGGUGGACUCUCACAUAUGAGAGACCUACGACCAGUAUAUAACAAAGUUUAAAGCUUACAUACUUACUAUAAUGUUAUUUUCUCAGUAACAGAUCGUAUAUAUAUCUUUAAUAAUGCCAUAUCCAACCUUUCGUAUAUCUAUCUUAAGCCGGCUAAUAAACUCUGCCGGCAUGAUACGUCAAUCGGUUCGUGGUGAAGUAAUCACAAUUGUUAUUGUGUGUACAGGUAUAGGGGUGAACGAACUCCAAAUACCGGCUCUACCGAGCCAAGAUUAUACGUUAUAUGUUCUAAGUCAUCAACUAUGUUAGCUAAUGCGUCAGUAUGAGAGAAUGAAUUGACUUGCUAAAUAUUAUCGGCAGUUAUUAAGUCCAGUUAGCUCGAAAAAUAGAAGAAACCCUACAAAAACUUGCGUAAAGCAGAAAACUCGGUACGAAUGUUGGAAACACUCUUGUAAACGCAAGGUAAAAGUCCCCCUCGAUCCUACGUGUAUAAAAAAAAUUUAACUUAGUAUGUAAGUAUUGUAUUUUUGCAUUUUUCAACAAAAUGGUUAGUUUUAUCAUAAAAACACAAAAUUGUAGAACAUACAAUCAUCUAUAAUAACUGUUCUAACACUUUUUUUAUAAAAAGUUUCAUUUCUGCUAUAAAGCGAUUGUAAAAAUUGAAAAGUCGUGUUCUCUACAAUAUGAGGUUGAAUCAAAAAGCUUUUGAACGGGUUUAAGUUACACAUUGUCAUUUUAUGUUGAUAUGUUGAAUUUUGCGUCUUUAUAUUUACCUCUCUGCUUUACUUUGAACGUAGAAAUGUAUUGAAAUGUACAGCAUAUUUCGACAUAUCAGUCUGUGAAGAAUUGCGAUUUGUUUAUUUUGUGAACUCAUCGUCAGUUUAAUACCUUGGCGAUUUAUUUCAAUUGCGUCGCAUUUUUUAUUCGACAAUAUUUCAAUCUUCAAUACAAAAAAUAAUCUAAAAAGAGAUGUCUAUGAAGUAAGAAUGAAAAAAUAUACCAAUGAAUGCGCCGCAAAAAAUAAAGCUAAGUUUGAAUAAUGCCCUCUUUUUCGUCAGUUUUUUUUACGUCCGUGAUACAUUAAAAUUAAAGAGUUCACGAAGUAUUAUUAUGUAUAGAGCAGUGAGAUCAUCAUACUAAACAAUGAAAGGUGUUUACUAUUACAACAUAGUUAUUAUUAGAAUAUUACUUUUUUUUAAUAUCUUCGUCAGAAUAACAGACUUGUUGCUGACACAAAAGUACUACUGAGAGUUUGCAUUUUUGCGAGGGAAAAGUAACUUAUAAUUUAUACUAGGUAUUGACCGCGCCUUCGCCUGCGUGAAAAGCCUUACCCACCAAAAGUCCGUAUAACACUGUACCGAGCCAUCGAUCUGUACGAUGCCAGCGCAAUCUGUGAAAAAUCAGAUUAAGAAAUUGUUUUUUUUUUCACGACAGCAACUUAUCGGUGUAAAAAGUACCCUACGAGUUAAUCCGGGACAUGGUCUAUACGAAUGCUAAUUUUCAUCCAAAUCCGUUCAGCGAUUUCUGCGUUUACUAGUUACAAACAUACGAACAUUAAAGCGUUUUCAUUUACAAUAAGUUACUUGAAACGUAGAUGUAAAAUAAAAAAAAUGUAAAUUUUGAACGAAUUUUAAUUUUACACAUCCAAAUGCCCCUACUACUAGCCUAAGGUAAUUUGUCGCAGCGUCAAUAUACUUUCAGUCGGAAGUAUACUCAGGUACACGCCAUAUUCGGACUUAACUACAAAAUGAUCAAAAAAGUAGAAUUUGGAUUUUUGGUGAAAAUAUUCGUUUUUCAUGGAUGAUUUUUGGCACAAUGUUAGCAGAGGUAAAGGCGAGUGUGUGAUGAGAGAGAGAGAGUGAGAAGGCAAUAACAAAAUUACCCUGUAUCAUGUAUUAUAGAGCUAAUUCUUUGUAGGUGUAGAUAAUGAUGCUUACCAGCACUAACGUUUGAGCCGGUUUGCGUUCUUUUUGCAAUGCCUAUAAAAGGUAACUAAUCUACACGCAACGAGUUCUAAAUAAAGACCUUUUUUGUAAGCGUCAAGUAAACCAUAUAAGUACUAGGAUCCACGACAUAUUACUUUACUAAGAAACAGCGAAUAUGGAAUGUUUUUAAAUCAAUACUUGGACAAAUUGUCUUUAAAUUAAACAACAUCCGUAAUCAGAAACAAUACUAUUAGCACACUGUGCCCGAACGCAUUGUGUCGGAAUUUUCAUAAUUUUCUCUGGCUUUAUCUGACAGCAAACUGAAGUAUUUGAAUAUGAGCCAAUCAGUGACGCACUGCGAAGGAUGCCAUGUCAAAAAAACAGAAAAACAGACUUAUUGUCACAGCAUUGCUCAAUGCACAGUAACGUAUGUGUACACGGGGUUUACUUUAUUUUUGUAUUGCCUGGUUGUAAUUCACAAAAGCCAAUAGAUGUUACAACUUAAAUCAUCUAUUAAUAAAGUAUACAACACUAUAGAUACGGCUAAUCAUGCGCUAUCGUCCAUCGAGUUCAAUAUUACUUGAUAACACAGGAUAAAUUAUAGAUAUGAUGCACAUAGAAAGCAAACAAAGAAUCUUUUGUUGUAUUAUUUCGUUUAUUGAUCAACAAAGUUAUUGUGAGUUUCUUCCUUAUCACUAUAAAUUUUGGUUUUAGACUUAAUUUACCUUUUUUAUAUGUCAUCAUCAUAUUAGAUACAUCAUAUCACAAUACAUCGAUUUAGUGUAACAAGUUCGUUUCAUUAGUUAACGUAUUAUGUGGUGUUUUUACGGGGCUUUAUUAAACCAACUGAAAUGGACAGACGUCAUUAAAUCGUCUACGAAGUGUUCCCUUAUUGAAUGUACACGCAGUGCCAUGAAAAGAGAGAAAUGGAGAGUUCUUGCAAAAGUCGCAAUCAAUUUUUCAGACGAUCCAUAACCACGACCACACCGCCAGGAAUGUACGACUGAUAAGAAGAAUCAAACCAAAUAUAUAAACUUUUGAAUAGAGAAAGCACUUUAGUGGUAAUUUGGUGAAUACGACGUACAAGUUAAAGCAUUAACCGCCAUUUUCAAUGAACGAUCCCAAUCGCUUUUUUUGAGCUAUAUCAAAAACGGACCAAUCAGAACAGUCAUUAUUGACAUGCUUACAAAUGAGUUAUUUUUAUUGUUUGUUGAAAUCGACUGUAAAUGAAUACCGCGAUAGUUCCCUGACACCUUUAUCUAAAGGGACAGGUAGAGAUGUAACUUUAACUUUAACUAGUAAAUCCAUCCACGGAAUUAUAUGUGAAGAUUCCAUAUCAAAACGAAUUAUAACUGUAUUUACUAUAAAAUUUUGCUUUGUUACUUUGUUAAAGGAUUUCCACACGUCACAUUUAAUGCAUGGUCAUAUUGUUAGUGUUAUAUUGGAUAGAAACUAAAUAAGAUAUAUUACAACAAAUAA